rnacentral:tRNA from 1 species
GGUCCUAUAGCUCAGUUGGUUAGAGCACCUGACUCAUAAUCAGGGGGUCCCUGGUUCGAGCCCAGGUGGGACCACUA